AACGAACGCUGGCGGCAUGCCUAACACAUGCAAGUCGAACGAGACCUUCGGGUCUAGUGGCGCACGGGUGCGUAACGCGUGGGAACCUGCCCUUAGGUUCGGAAUAACUCCCCGAAAGGGGUGCUAAUACCGGAUAAUGUCUUCGGACCAAAGAUUUAUCGCCUUUGGGUGGGCCCGCGUUGGAUUAGGUGGUUGGUAGGGUAAAAGCCUACCAAGGCGACGAUCCAUAGCUGGUCGGAGAGGAUGAUCAGCGAAACUGGGACUGAGCCACGGCCCAUACUCCUAGGGAGGCAGGAGUGGGGAAUAUUGGAGAAUGAGGCAAAACCUGACAAAGCAAUGCCGCGUGAGUGAUGAAGGCCUUAGGGUUGUAAAGAUCUUUUACCCGGGAUGAUAAUGACAGUACCGGGAGAAUAAGCUCCGGCUAACUCCGUG
rnacentral:rRNA from 1 species